AGUGAACGCUGGCGGUAGGCCUAACACAUGCCAGUCGAACGGCAGCACAGUAAGAGCUUGCUCUUACGGGUGGCGAGUGGCGGACGGGUGAGGAAUACAUCGGAAUCUACUUUUUCGGGGGGGAUAACGAAGGGAAACUUACGCUAAUACCGCAUACGACCUACGGGUGAAAGCAGGGGAUCUUCGGACCUUGCGCGAUUGAAUGAGCCGAUGUCGGAUUAGCUAGUUGGCGGGGUAAAGGCCCACCAAGGCGACGAUCCGUAGCUGGUCUGAGAGGAUGAUCAGCCACACUGGAACUGAGACACGGUCCAGACUCCUACGGGAGGCAGCAGUGGGGAAUAUUGGACAAUGGGCGCAAGCCUGAUCCAGCCAUACCGCGUGGGUGAAGAAGGCCUUCGGGUUGUAAAGCCCUUUUGUUGGGAAAGAAAAGCAGCAGGUUAAUACCCCGCUGUUCUGACGGUACCCAAAGAAUAAGCACCGGCUAACUUCGUG
rnacentral:rRNA from 1 species